rnacentral:rRNA from 1 species
AACGAACGCUGGCGGCACGCCUCAUACAUGCAAGUCGAGCGCGAAACCACCUUCGGGUGAUGUAGAGCGGCGAACGGGUGAGUAACAGGUGGGUAAUCUGCCCUUUGGCGGGGGACGAACAGCUGGAAACGGCUGCUAAUACCGCAUGUGAUUGUGGACUUAUGGUCUGCAAGGAAAGGCGCCUCAAAGCGCCACCAAAGGAUGAGCCCGCCCCCCAUUAGCUAGUUGGUGAGAUAACAGCUCACCAAGGCAUCGAUGGGUAGCCGAGCUGAGAGGUUGAUCGGCCACACUGGAACUGAGACACGGUCCAGACACCUACGGGUGGCAGCAGUAGGGAAUAUUGCGCAAUGGGCGAAAGCCUGACGCAGCGAUGCCGCGUGAGUGACGAAGGUCUUAGGAUUGUAAAGCUCUUUUCUGAGGGAAGAAUAGGUCUGGUAGGAAAUGACUGGAUUCUGACGGUACCUCAGGAAUAAGGAACGGCUAA